rnacentral:rRNA from 1 species
UACGAAGGGGGCGAGCGUUGUUCGGAUUUACUGGGCGUAAAGGGCGCGCAGGCGGCGAUCUUUGUCAGGCCGUGAAAGCCCCGGGCUCAACCUGGGAACGGCGCUUGGGACGGGAUGGCUAGAGGAUCGGGAAGAGGAGAGUGGAAUUCCCAAGUGUAGAGGUGAAAUUCGUGAGAUAUUGGGAAGAACACCAGUGGCGCAAGGCGGCUCUCUGGAGCCGAUACUGACGCGUGAGGCG